rnacentral:lncRNA from 1 species
GAUCAGUUCUAAUGCAAAUAGAUAUUUUAUCCAUUUUCAAUACAGUAAGAGAUACAGAACAGAAUUAGUAUUCAGAAGCUCGGCAAGAAAUCUGAGGAUAACCGCCAUUAAGAUGACACCAACAAUCUAUUUGCGACUUACCACUAUAAAUGCCUUUCUUAGUUAAAGCAGGAUUUAUCGCGCUUGCUGUCCGGUCUGCUCU